AAAAAAAAAUUGAAUAAUUAAUAAAAAGUCUAUCAACUCUCUCUUUCUCUUUCUUGACCAACUAGAAGUCCUUUUUGGUCAUUACAGUUUUCAUCAAUUAUUUCUUUUUAUAACUCUCAUUGUCUUUCUUCAGUUGAGCUCAUGUAUCAAUAAAAACAUACUAGAAUUAAUUUAGGGUUUUCUGGCAACAUCUACUUUUGAGCUUUAGGUCUAAGCUUAUAAGGAAAAAGAAAUGUACACACAUAUAUGCAUGGUGGAUUGAUCCAACAAAGAUGAAUAAUAAUGGAAGGAAAAAAGAGUGAAGGAGCUUCCUACAGCCCAACCAUAGAUAUAAGAGCAGAAUUAAUUAGUACUAAGUGAGUGAUAUAAUAAAAAAAUGAUAUUCCAUUUAGAAUGAAAUAAUAGCAAUGUGGUUGGACUGAAGGGAGCUCCUUCUUUCUGUUGCCUCCAUUUGUGUAAGAUUGACUCAAAAGACUUUAUGCAUGUCUCAGCUUAAUAUGUAUAUAUAUGCUUUAAUUGAGCAUAUAAGAAGGUGAAGAGUGAAGAGUGAAGACAGAGUAAAGUACAGUGAAAACUACUGUAGCUGAUGUUACAUAUCGUCUUGUAAGUAUUAACUCUUUUACUAUUCAUGCACAACAUUCAGGAAACAUAUAUCUGAACAGUUUCAUAUCAAUUUAAUUUCCUCAUCACCCACUUUGUACUUUUUUCAAACUACGAAAUAUUCAACAUCAAUAAUUAAAUAAAUCAAUAUUCUUUUCUUAUAUA